rnacentral:rRNA from 1 species
GACGAACGCUGGCGGCGUGCUUAACACAUGCAAGUCGAACGGAAAGGCCCUGCUUUUGUGGGGUGCUCGAGUGGCGAACGGGUGAGUAACACGUGAGUAACCUGCCCUUGACUUUGGGAUAACUUCAGGAAACUGGGGCUAAUACCGGAUAGGAGCUCCUGCUGCAUGGUGGGGGUUGGAAAGUUUCGGCGGUUGGGGAUGGACUAGAGGCUUAUCCGCCUGUUGGUGGGGUAGUGGCUUACCAAGGGUUCGACGGGUAGCCGGCCUGAGCGGGUGACCGGCCACAAUGGGACUGAGAUACGGCCCAGACUCCUACGGGAGGCAGCAGUGGGGAAUAUGGCACAAUGGGCGGAAGCCUGAGGCAGCAGCGCCGCGUGCGGGAUGACGGCCUUCGGGUUGUAAACCGCUGUCGCCUGUGACGAAGCGUGAGUGACGGUAAUGGGUAAAGAAGCACCGGCUAACUACGUG